rnacentral:rRNA from 1 species
UAGGGAAUCUUCCACAAUGGGCGAAAGCCUGAUGGAGCAACGCCGCGUGUGUGAUGAAGGGUUUCGGCUCGUAAAACACUGUUGUAAGAGAAGAAUGACAUUGAGAGUAACUGUUCAAGUAUUGACGGUAUUUAACCAGAAAGCCACGGCUAACUACGUGCCAG